GGCGGAGGAGGAAGAGGAGGAGCUGAUUUGUUCCUGAACUCAAGACUCAAACUUUCAGUUCAGUUCAGUUCAGUUCAGUUCAACUCUCCAACAUUAACUCUGCUCAUCAUGGACUAUUAUGGUCUGUCUCUGCUCAUCAUCUCUCUGCUAACAGGUGUUGAGUCUCAACAACUAUCUCCUCUGAUGGCAGAAAACUUCAUUUCAGAGGGCGGCUCCGUUUCUCUGACCUACACAUUUUCUAAAGAAGCAACUGGAAGCGAUGAGUUCUACUGGUAUCGCCAACAUCCAGGAAAACCUCCAGAGUUCCUGCUCUACCACCUAGGAUCAGGAAAAAUACUGUCGGAGCAAACUGCUGGACGGGAGAUCGAUGUGAAGGGAAGAGACAUAAAGCUGCUGAUCUCCUCUGCUGCAGUGACAGACUCUGCUGUGUACUACUGCGCUGUGAGGCCCACAGUGACAGGAAACACCAGAACUCUGUACAAAAACCUGCAGUACUCCACAGCAGCCACUAGAGGCCCUCACUCCCUGCUCUUCAACGGUUUGUCAAGAUUCAGACUGAUGUGAUCAAACCUGAACAAGAAAUACAAGUAAUAAAAAACUAGUAACAGGGACGGUGGGUUAAACCUACUGCUGCUCUGUGGCGCUCAGAGAACAGGAAGAACCCAGAACAGUUAAAUAAUUGUGAUUAAUUCACAAACAUCCUGAAGCCCCAACCAGAUUUUUUAAACUAAUUUGACAGCGCUAAUUAUUAAUGUUGCUGGGUUUUUUUUGUAUUAAUAUUUGUUUGGUGGUUUUUACUCUGGACAUUUAGUUCUGAUACACUGAGCAGCCUUUCUCCGCUCUGCUCAGCCGUUCAGAUCCACUAGAGGGCAGCGUUACCAGGUUCUGAGCUCUGCUGUGGUUCUGUGUUCAAGCACUCUGUCACUCCACAGACCAGGUCCCAUCAGGUGUUCUUGUCUCCCAGGCAGAACAAAUGAGAAACGUUUAUCCGGUUGUUGAACAGCUGCAGCGUUCCCUCCAGAUCCCGGUCUGAAUCAUUCUGUCUGGUUCUAGCAUGACACAGUCUGAGUUUGGACUGGUUUUAAUGGGACGGCCCGUCACCAGGCUCAGUGAGGGGAGGAGCUCCACUCUGACAGACUUUGUGUUGGAGCUGAAGAGCUGCUGCGUUCUCUCUGUUCUUCUGUCAGUACCAGGGAAAACAAUGCAGCUGCUGCUUUUCUCCUGCAUGAUGAUGAUCUUCUGCCUUCAGCCAGGAUCCUCUGAGGAUUUACUGACACCAUUUAAAGACGAUCAACUGGAUUUGGAAGGAAACGACGUGACUCUGUCCUGCAACUAUUCAGGAACAGUAAACCUGCUGCUGUGGUAUCGACAGACGCCCAGUUCAUCUCCACAGCUGGUCACCUCAGGAUAUUCAGACACAACAGGAAGGCUUUCUUUGAGACACGAGAAAACAAGAAAGACGUUUCAUCUGCUGAUCUCCUCUGCUGCAGUGACAGACUCUGCUGUGUACUACUGCGCUGUGGAGCCCACAGUG